GAAAUGCGAUAAGUAAUGUGAAUUGCAGAAUUCAGUGAAUCAUCGAAUCUUUGAACGCACAUUGCGCCCGCCAGUACUCUGGCGGGCAUGCCUGUUCGAGCGUCAUUUCAACCAUCAAGCCCCCGGCUGGUGUUGGGGACCUGCGGCUGCCCGCAGGCCCUGAAAAACAGUGGCGGGCUCGCUGUCACACCGAGCGUAGUAGCAUACAUUCUCGCUCAGGGCGUGCUGCGGGUUCCGGCCGUUAAACGACCUUCAUAACCCAAGGUUGACCUCGGAUCAGGUAGGAAGACCCGCUGAACUUAAGC
rnacentral:misc_RNA from 1 species